UGUAGACCUAGGAUGAACUCUGUUGCUAUUAUAUAUAUCAAGAAGAAAAAGGAGGAAAAAAGAGAUUAAAUUGAUGUUGGAUCGUUGGUGGGCUUGGUCCUACUAAUAAAUCCUCAUUAUGGAUAUGUGUGCAAAGAAUCACAGUAGCCAUCCAAUCUUAAAUAUGUGCGUGCACACACAUAAAAGAGAUGGAUAGAUAUAGAAAGAG
rnacentral:lncRNA from 1 species